rnacentral:rRNA from 1 species
AUUGAACGCUGGCGGCAGGCCUAACACAUGCAAGUCGAACGGGAACAGGAAGCAGCUUGCUGCUUUGCUGACGAGUGGCGGACGGGUGAGUAAUGGCUGGGAAACUGCCUGAUGGAGGGGGAGAACUACUGGAAACGGGAGCUAAUACCGCAUAACGUCGCAAGUCCAAAGAGGGGGACCUUCGGGCCCCUUGUCAUCGGGUAUACCCAGAUGGGAUUGGCUAGUAGGUGGGGGAACGGCUCACCUAGGCGACGAUCCCUAGCUGGUCUGAGAGGAUGACCAGCCACGCUGGAACUGAGACACGGUCAAGACUCCUACGGGAGGGAGCAGUGGGGAAUAUUGCACAAUGGGCGCAAGCCUGAUGCAGCCAUGCCGCGUGUAUGCAGAAGGCCUUCGGGUUGUAAAGUACUUGCAGCGGGGAGGAAGGGAAUAAAGUUAAUACCUGUACUCAUUGACGUUACCCGCAGAAGAAGCACCGGCUAACUCCGUG